GCGUCAUUAGCUCAGUUGGCUAGAGUAGCGGACUCUUAAUCCGUGGGUCCAGGGUUCGAAUCCCUGAUGACGCA
rnacentral:tRNA from 1 species